GUUCCUAUCGAAAAAUGGGGUUUGACCCCCUGGAAAUCGGAAUUUCUCGAAAUCAGCCCUAGGCGGUUAUGGGUCUUUCCUGAUCACACAUUACAAACCACGGCGCUAAUCAGUUAGGUAAAACAAAACCGCUACAUGGUAUACAUGCAGCCACAAUCAGCGACAAAACUGGCGUCUAAAAAGUAGUCUUACUGAAAUGAAAUAAUUUACACUAUGGGAACUUUUUAUUACUCACAUCCCCCUUCCCCCCAUUAAAAGUUGCUGUCUAUUUGGGGAAGAGGGGGUUGGGAUGGAGAGGGGAAGAUAUCAAAGUCACUAUGCUACGUGGUUUAAAUUUCCAUCUGAAAUUGCAUUUGAAGCGCUAAAAUUUUCAACAGUUUUGUCGCUGAUUGCAGCUAAGCUUGAAAUUUUAGAAAGUAGCGAGAGAAGUUUACCUUAAGGCGUUUUUUUUUGUUUGUUAUCGAGAUUUGAAUAGCUGGCACAAUCUUAAAUUUUAUUUGGGAUUGUUGAAUUCCUUGCGCCCGUGGUCUUACCCCUGCUACUCCCUCUUGUUUCUGCCAUUUUAAAACAAACACAAAGAUGGCGGCGGCUUAUCACAUCGCGCUGAGUUUUUCUUCGCUAAAGAAUACCAAUAAACCUUUUCUGUCAAGGUGUUUUUCAUUUUUUAGCAUCACUUGGGUUUGCUGAAACUUGUUGCAUGCUCUUCAGCAAUUACUAGAAGGCAUUGGGUCAUUGUUUUGAACUGAUAAGUUUUCCAAAACGCCGUACAGUCCAUAGCCAAGUGAGCUGGAGUAUUUAGGCAUUGAGUUAGAUUGUUCGUUUUGCUUUUGACCCGGCUCAUAAGUCGGCAAAAUCGGUCUGAAACUGUUAUUAAAUUCUCCUUCAACACUCUUUGAAAGCUGUGGUAACUCGUCCCAAGUAACUGACGAGUAAACAUUUUUCCAAACUUACCGAAAUGUGCUCUAAAAAUCUUGUUUGUGCACUCAUCUUGUUGAUUUAUUGACCACGAACACCGUACGAGGGAUCACGAGUCCCAUGCCAAAACAUGGCACAAUGUUCGAUUGUUCGUCUGUCAAAAUCUGUCAAACUGAAAUUUAGUCCUAGUCUCUCGCGGCCUCAUUUUUCAAAGUGAGGCUGCGGAACAAGACCCCCAAACCAAAAUCGAACCAAACACCCGCAUAUAUUCUGCCACGUGCUCGUGAAUGGAAAGGAAAGAGAGUUUUAAAAAGCGAUGUCAAGAUUAGUAUGCUGCUCCUACGUCGCAGCAAUUAUAUAAAAAUAGAACAGAUGGCGAUACCCAAUACAGCCAUAUAAGCACAAAUCUUAGAUACAUAUAUCUUUUAUUUUCCAAUAUUACACCCCAAUUCAUUUUAAACCUGUUCAAAAAGUUUAUAGAGUUAGGUCGCAUGUUAAAUCGGACAACAGAUAUUUAUAAAUAAAUGGAUGAAAUCCACUCUAAUCUCCCCCAAAAAAACAGAAAAUGACUUCUUUUUAUGGAGCCGUUAAUAUGUUGUCAUCUUUAGAAAACCCUUUUUUUAUGGGGAGAAUAGAUCGUGUAAAAAGUAUAUUAAAUAUAUUUACAAAAAGCACAGACGAACCUUGCUCAAAGCAAAGUGCUUUUUAGGAGUAACUACGUUUGAUUGAUAACCUGGGUGAAGAGCUUCACACAUCAUUAGGAAGAGCCUUAUUUGGGCAUAAUGAAUACGAUGAUCUUUUUUCACGUAUUUCUCCGUUGGUCAAGCUAUUGCACAUAUCCUUAAUCCUUAUAGUUAUUGUUAUUUGAAUUUAUAAAGUUUUAGUUUAAGUUAUACAAAAUUCUGCAUGCUUCAUUCGUUAUGUCUAAGUGUUCAGUAACAUUAAAGUACAUAUACAUGUA